UCUUAAUAUAUUGUCUUUCGAUAAAUUAUAUGAAAUAUGGACACCCAAAAAUUUCACUUCAGAUGUAGUGGGUAACAAACAAUUAUUAUAUUGCACAGCAGGUGUACUGUGACAAUGUUUACCAAAUACAAUAACUUUAGACUUGGAUGGAUUCACACUGAGAUCAAGGAAUCCCUAUUUGUAAUAACUCAAGGCAUAGAAUAUCUAUGUUUACACUAUUAAAAGCACCUGCGAUGUCAAAGAAUACACCGACCAAGUUUUCAUUUGCGGAUAUAGAGUUUUGUAUAUCCAGCUGUAACUGGCAAACGCUUUCUCUAGCAGAACGAUUUCUACGAAAACCAAAUUGAUUGGAAGGAAUAUGAUAACUAGUACCAAGAGGACAAUCAUGUACAGACCAGUCACAGUUGAGAGCCAGUGAUGAAGAUACCAAUGAUAAAUCCAAAGCAUUGGGUCGCCAUGUUGGAGAACCGAUAGUCGUUGCUUGCCCAUCAUUAAGGAGAACCAAAUUAUUAUCCUCAAUAACCUCUAGAAUAUUUUCGACCACGCGGGCUGUCGGAACCACAGCCCCAACAAGUGUGAUGAGCGUUAAAAUCGCCCGCAAAUAUGAAAGGACUAGGAAUAGACUUAACCAAUGUAUCAAAAUUGUUUUUGCUGAAGACUGGGUUAGAGUUUAAAGGACUAUAGAAACUAACUAUACAUAUAUCUUUAUUAUUAACUGUUAUUUUCACACAUACAUUUUGUAAGGAAUUAUCGAAAUAGGUGUUAAUUCUAGAAUAAAUAAUGCUUUUAUGUAUUAUAAUUGCAACACCAUUGUGUUUGUUACCACAAUCAUUCCUUUCAACAUUGUAAUUUUUAAUUUUUAAAAUUUUGUUCAGGUUUUAACCAAGUUUCACUGAUUAUAGCAAUAUGAAUAUUGUGUGUAUAAAGAAAAUUAAUAAAUAUAUGUUUGUUACUAUUCAGACUUUGGGCAUUCCAUUGUAUUAUAUUUAAAGUUGAUAAAUCCAUUAUGAAGAUGAAGGGAAUUUAUUACUUAGCGUUGCUUUUAAAACUUCUUUAAUGGAAGUAGAAUUAAUAGGGGCAUCUUUAUUACUUAUUAUUUUAAUAAUUGUUUCAACUAAUGUGCUUAUAAAUGUAUCCGAUUUCAUUAAAUUAUUAAUUUGCGUAUCUAAAGUACGAGCAGAAAGAGCUGGAAAUGCAUUGGAGUCAAAAAGUUCUGAAUAUGUGGCAUUUCUAGAUUUUAUUUUAUUUUCUUCAA
rnacentral:lncRNA from 1 species